rnacentral:rRNA from 1 species
GACGAACGCUGGCGGCGUGCUUAACACAUGCAAGUCGAACGGAAAGGCUCUGCUUUUGUGGGGUGCUCGAGUGGCGAACGGGUGAGUAACACGUGAGUAACCUGCCCUUGACUUUGGGAUAACUUCAGGAAACUGGGGCUAAUACCGGAUAGGAGCUCCUGCUGCAUGGUGGGGGUUGGAAAGUUUCGGCGGUUGGGGAUGGACUCGCGGCUUAUCAGCUUGUUGGUGGGGUAGUGGCUUACCAAGGCUUUGACGGGUAGCCGGCCUGAGAGGGUGACCGGCCACAUUGGGACUGAGAUACGGCCCAGACUCCUACGGGAGGCAGCAGUGGGGAAUAUUGCACAAUGGGCGGAAGCCUGAUGCAGUAACGCCGCGUGCGGGAUGACGGCCUUCGGGUUGUAAACCGCUUUCGCCUGUGACGAAGCGUGAGUGACGGUAAUGGGUAAAGAAGCACCGGCUAACUACGUG